rnacentral:lncRNA from 1 species
UUCUGCAUCACCAAGUAUCAAGAAUGUAGAGACUAUUUGAUACAUGUCCUUUAACAACAUUCUGUUUCGUCAUAGGAGUCUACUCACAUAAAUCAAAUUGAAAAUAAGUUUUGGUAGACUUAAUACAGAUAACAGGACAAUAGAUGAGAUUGGUUUACGGUCUCAGAACCCUCAAUGUUAUAGGUUGACCGAUCAGAAAUGGUUACAGUAGAAUAUGUUUUAUGUGAUCGAAAACUAAAAAAUAUAUUAUGAUUACCUAUCAUGUGAUCUGUAGCACUAGAAUCAAUCAGCCAUUUGUUUAAAUAGGAGAUAAGAUAGUUUUUACCUGAUUCAUUAAUGGUAGACAAUUUCUUCAAAGAUUCCUAAUAUUGAGAGAACUUAGCAUACCUGUCAGCUAAAAUUAUAACUAUUUUCUCAGAAAAAGAGUUAGCAAUAGUAGCAACAAUAUUAGCAGUUUGUGUUCUCUUAUUGCGACUUUGCAAUUUCUUGCUGUGCGGCUUUAUAUUCCCUUACUCAUAUCAGUAGUAGCAGACAAUAUUACUACUCAUUUUAAUUCAAGAAUUAAAUUGUCAGACGAAAAUCAUUAAAAACACCCAGAAAACCAGCAACCAAAAAAAUAGCCGAAACAGGUGAAAAACAAAUAGUGAGAAUUACCACUAUUAGGAGUAGACAACCACUCACAGGAAAACACUACUACGUCCAAAAAAGUCACAACCAUGCAUUAAAAUAGAAACCACUGCGUAUAACCACCAGAAAAGCCCCACACGCCGUCGUACGCGCCGCCAUCAGAAUCUCACGUGCUGCCGCUGAAAUCAUCAUGCACCAUCGCCGGAACCACCACGAGAAGCCGUGAUUUGACCGGAAAACACCAAAGAUCUGUGGCGCGCUCAGAUCUGGAAUGGAUCUCGUAAAAUUUGUGCAGUAAACAUCGUGGAUCUGGCUUCACGCAACUGGCGACCGCCGCAGCUCUCUUCUUCACGCAGAUCUGGGUGUGCCGGGGACAGCUUGCCGCC